AUAGCGAAAUCGUGGCUUGACGAACAGAAACAGAAUAUAAGGCGUAACAGGUGGGCAAGCUAGCAACAGAUAGCAAAGACCCAAAAGGUAACCGUAAACCCAAAGCGUAAAUUCUGCAAGUAAACGAUGAAAGUAUU
rfam:Peptoniphilus duerdenii ATCC BAA-1640 genomic scaffold SCAFFOLD1, whole genome shotgun sequence.